AUUGAACGCUGGCGGCAGGCCUAACACAUGCAAGUCGAGCGGAUGAAGGGAGCUUGCUCCUGGAUUCAGCGGCGGACGGGUGAGUAAUGCCUAGGAAUCUGCCUGGUAGUGGGGGAUAACGUCCGGAAACGGGCGCUAAUACCGCAUACGUCCUGAGGGAGAAAGUGGGGGAUCUUCGGACCUCACGCUAUCAGAUGAGCCUAGGUCGGAUUAGCUAGUUGGUGGGGUAAAGGCCUACCAAGGCGACGAUCCGUAACUGGUCUGAGAGGAUGAUCAGUCACACUGGAACUGAGACACGGUCCAGACUCCUACGGGAGGCAGCAGUGGGGAAUAUUGGACAAAGGGCGAAAGCCUGAUCCAGCCAUGCCGCGUGUGUGAAGAAGGUCUUCGGAUUGUAAAGCACUUUAAGUUGGGAGGAAGGGCAGUAAGUUUAUACCUUGCUGUUUUGACGUUACCAACAGAAUAAGCACCGGCUAACUUCGUG
rnacentral:rRNA from 1 species